rnacentral:rRNA from 1 species
AGCGAACGCUGGCGGCAGGCCUAACACAUGCAAGUCGAACGGAUCCUUCGGGAUUAGUGGCGGACGGGUGAGUAACACGUGGGAACGUGCCCUUUGGUUCGGAACAACCCAGGGAAACUUGAGCUAAUACCGGAUGUGCCCUUCGGGGGAAAGAUUUAUCGCCAUUGGAGCGGCCCGCGUCUGAUUAGCUAGUUGGUGGGGUAAAGGCCCACCAAGGCGACGAUCAGUAGCCGGUCCGAGAGGAUGAUCAGCCACAUUGGGACUUGAGACACGGCCCAAACUCCUACGGGAGGCAGCAGUGGGGAAUCUUGCGCAAUGGGCGAAAGCCUGACGCAGCCAUGCCGCGUGAAUGAUGAAGGUCUUAGGAUUGUAAAAUUCUUUCACCGGGGACGAUAAUGACGGUACCCGGAGAAGAAGCCCCGGCUAACUUCGUGCCAGCCGCCGCCGUAA